UCGAUCGGGUUCGAACACACUCCUCCUCGGCUUUUCCAUACUUUUCUCGGCUUUCCCGUCCUGGAAAGGACGGAUUUACAUUCCUUCGAAGAGAACCCUUGAAAAACGAACGAGUUGGUACGUAAGGAAGUGGCGGCAUUGCGUUUUGCAUUGUCUUUCAGAUUGGAGAUAACGCUGCUCGGUGUUAAGACGUUAAAAGGAAAUGUUAGGGUUCGAAGUGCGCGUCCGAUUGACUAACGUCAUCGUCGAUCGGAAGGAUUUGACUUUAGAAAAGUAGAGCGAACGUCGAUAACGAUUUACCCUGGUGUAACGUUUGGGAGCACAAAUUCUCAAGGAUCGAUCAAAAGCUCGAGCAAGUUAUAACAGAGGAGCCGACGAACGACGAGGGCAAGGAUAGAAAGGGUCCUUCCUUCUUUCUUUCUUUCACAUCCCCGAGGAGUAACUAACUGAACGAGAGUCGGGAUAGAGGGUGUUAAGGAACCAACGUACGCCACACACGUAUGCGAACGUCGUAGGAGAGAACGAGACCUGUCAAUAGCCGGCUUGUUACAGCGACAAUGAUCGGCUUAACCAACGGGAAAGAUCCACCCGCACGUACUGGAUUUUCACGAGAAAGGACACGGGAUAGCGAUGUCAACAUCGUUUCCUUUCCUCUUCUUAAUUCCGCAAAGAUCUCGCGUCAUCUUUCUUUCCGAAUUUAGCAGGGACACCGCCAAACGAGGGCUGAUUUACUGAUUAAUCGUUCGUGGGUCACACGAGACGCGUGCGUGACGAGAAGCUAGCUUGGUUAUCAGACAACGGAGGAGCGGCGUACAUCGGCUAUCGCUAAAACCACCGUCGCCAUCUCUUUUGCUUUCGUCUUCCGAGAAGCAAAACUGUACACCCGGCUAUCAACUGUACAACACACCUAUAUACGCAUAGCAACUUUA
rnacentral:lncRNA from 1 species